CGGACAAAUAAGUUUGAUGUCAAAUAUGAUGGCUCAACCAUCAAGAGGCGUUGAAAACUGUUUAUCUAGAAUCUCGGAGAGGUAAGUGGAAUUCCAUGUGUAGCGGUGGAAUGCGUAGAUAUAUGGAGGAACACCAAUGGCGAAGGCAGCUUACUGGACGAAGAUUGACGCUGAGGUGCGAAAGCGUGGGUAGCAAACAGGAUUAGAUACCCUGGUAG
rnacentral:rRNA from 1 species